ACCAUGUCCAAAAUGGAUGCUUUUUAUGUAAUUGGGCAGGUAGAUUUGUUUGGGGUCAAUUCUGACCAUUGUGGCUACUUGUUCUACUACUUUUGGGUUGUUUCCUCAGACAAAAACAGGUUUUGUAUUAGUAAAACAGCCCGUUCUCUCAUCUGAGAGGUAUGAAUUAAACACUUCUGAGUUCAGCUCAACACGCAAUCACUGACAACUGAUGACCGUCACUGAUUUAAUGUUAUUACAGUUGAUUUCAUGACAAGAUAACACAUGACUAAUUUUAGUUUUCAGCCUAGUGUUCGCCAUAAGCUCAGAGUGUCAUGGGCAACACAUGACAAAUUGAUGCCACCACAGGAAUACAUCAUUGUUCCAUUUUAACCACAUGUUUUAAGUUUGAGCUCAUCAAAACACUUUAUCAAAAGGUGUGGCUUAGAAAAAAUUAAAUUUUAUAAAAAUACAAAAAAUUCUGGACUGGAACUUUUUGUCAUGCUAUACACAUAAUACAAUGUAUGUUACCUAAGAUACAUAGAAACAUUUGUAGUUUACAUUACAGAAGAAACAUGGUGAUUUAACCAAAACACGAUGGUUUCUUACACCUAACCACAUUGCGAGUGUGCAACAAAAGCCUGGUUACCUGCUGCUGCAACCUAAUCGACAGAAUAAACGUUAGCUGAGUACAUUUCUGCAAAACCACAGAUAAUGUUGCAAUAUUAUGUAUGUAUGUAUAUCUUUUGUCACGGUGCUGUCCUUUUGCGCUGGUUAGGUUUAGGCACAAAAAAACACUUGGUUAGGGUUAGGAAAACAUCUGAAGCCAAUGGUUUGCCCUAAAAUAAGUGUCUUUAUAAAUAUGGGCUACUUCACAUUAAAUCAUGGCAACUUGGCUGGUUUUAAGAGUCACUGGUAAUCAACUUACUCAGUCAUUUUGCUAUGACUAAUAAAAAUAAUCUUCCAAAUUGAAGCCAGUGGAGACUUACGGUUGGUACAACACCAGUGCUGCUGGCAUUGCAACGUCUUUGACCAGCAAUCUCACCUCAUUUAUCAUUUCUGUCAUAUAUUUGUUACAUGACGUAUGUUGCAUUUGUCUAGAGUCUAUUUAUGGCACAUGGCCUAUCAAUAAUCUCACAGCUUCUAAUGUAGCUGGUGUGAAAAAUGUGACUGUUACAGUUUAAAGAAAAGCUUUUUAUUAUCAGUUAUAGUAAUUACAUGUGACUAAAUUCCAACAAGCUGCAGGAAGCACUUUUCCACAUAUAUUUCACAUUUAAUCUAGUGUGGUAUUUUUUCUGUCUUUAUGUUUUUGGUUUUUUUUGAAAGGAUGAAACCCAACAAUAACAAUCCAGUGCUUUUACAAGGUGCCUCUAAUGAAUUUGUGAUCACCAGUCAGACUCUGGAGACUCUGGACUUCCAUUAACUGCUUCACUGCUGCUGCUGUAUUAAACAUCUCUGUACCGGGCUCUCUCAGAAGGGAAUUUCUUUCUUUUGUCAUAAGAUUAGACUCCGUUCCAGUGAUUACUCUGAGCUCAACACUCAACCUGCAGGUGAGAAUUAUGCCAGUGCAUAUCUUAGCAUAUUUAAGCCUGAAUAUUUUAAUGUAGAACAUUUCUAAUCACUGAAUAUUUUCAUGUCCUUGAUGUUGAUACCAUGAUGCUCAUGUUCCUGUGAGGCUGCCAGAAGCUACAGAGUAGGAUAUUAUACUAGGGAAAUAGGAAAUGGCAUACACCAUCCGCACACACCAUCACACACUUCAUUUUUGAUUCCUUGUAUCAUUUCUUCAUCCAAAUUUUCCUUGAUGGUCAAUCUCAAUAGUUAGAAAGACUAAUUUAUUGAGCACCAUUUAAUUAUCAAACAUAAACACAUACCACAGUUAAUGCUGUAAGUAGAUAAAUGCUGAUUUUAAAUAUAUGGGCUUUAAAUGCAGCAGUUUCAUGAAGGGGAUUGUGAUGCUCGGGCCACUGGAGAGUGAAAGACAAGGAAAUGAAGAUAAAAUAAAAUCGAGGUUAAGUAGAAGUUGAAGUGUUAGGGAUCAGUUUAAAGAUUAGAUUUUAAGUAUUGAUAUUGACUCCAUCUUGUCCAGCAAAGACUUUUAACUGAAAACAAAGUUAACUUUUGUUCACAUCAGAGGUUACUGUCUUUUUAUCUGCUUAAAAAAAAGGAGUGUUGGCAAAAAUCAGCCAGGAUACAGUUUCUUUAAAAGAUCUGAUUUCCAUUGCAUUCCUUCACCUUUUAUAGAGCACUUUAAAAUGCCUCUUUGUUUCAAAGUUGUCAGGCAAAAAAAUCUGCAGUGCCUGAAAUAACUUUUUCUUUUUAUUAAAGGAAAAAGACAAAAAAGAUAUACACAUCAGAAUAAUCAGUGUUUUUGUGUUUAACAUACAUUUUGGAGUUAUGUGUAAAGAUCUGAUUGAUUAGACUGUAAUUUCAAACACAUAAUAUUAAUAAUAUAGUAUAUCAAUAUCAAUGUUAUGGCUUAUCUUAAACUCAUUUCACACUGAUUAAUGAGAAACUAAAUGACAUCAACAAAAGUAGGAAUAGAACAAUAAUCACAAAGAAUAGAAGAAAAGAACAAAGAAAAGAAUGUCUUUGAUUAAGAUGACGGGUUGAGAAAUCAGUGUCUGUAACCCAGAUUCUAGUCAUCAUGCAAUAAAAAUUCUCUGUUAUUAAAUACACUCAGGUGUGCAUGUUGUGUAGUACAGAGUAGCUCACACCUGUUUCUGGUUGGAAGUUUGGGUACUCUGUAUGGUGAGGAGGCUGCCAAGCAUUGACUGCUGUCUGAGAUUCGAUUUGUUGACAGUCCACCUCACAUAAUGAAUAUCAACAUCCUGGAAAAGGCCGCAGGGGCCCAUUUAUCAUGAAACGUCACCAAGGAGCUCAAUAACCUAUUUAUAAAACGAGGGGGCUGGGAGAAAACUUUGCUGCUGUCGGCUCUCACCAGGGACCUUGAUGCAAUGCCACCGUUCACAAGCUGCCAAUUACUGAUUUCAGAAGAAAGUAAGAAACAAUGCAAAGAUCAAGGCUCCAUGCACCAGUGGCUCUGUCACAUCUUCUUCCAGUUUGAAUGUCAACCGAGUAGUACAAAGUUAGCCUCCAGCUAUCCCACUGCUCAAUCGAGUAGGAGCAAGAGUGGGAGUAACCUCCUGAUUCUUCUCAAAGCGGGACCAACACAGAAUCGCCUUGCAAAUAUUCUCUUUGAUCUGACCGGCACGGCACAGGUUGACUGGGAUCCAGACGGGCAUUAGACGACAAAGGGAUAUGAGAGAGGACAAGCCACAUUCAUGCGAAUGAGAGAGCCUUCCAAGCGUGGGCGUCUGCUGGAAGUGAAGUAAUCCUCCCUGGUCUCAGAAUCCAAAUAGACCUUACAUGAAAGGAAAGUGCAAUUACCCAGCCUUAUUCCAGAUCAAUUGGACGCCAUCACCAAUAACUGUUGAGCUCUUUCUCCUCAUUCUGACUCCAUGGGACCAUGUUAGCUCUUUUUUUUUGUUUCUGGGACACUGUGAGAGAAGUUGCAGCUGAAAACCAAUCACACAACAGACACACACAUGCAUGUGGUUGAUGCAUGUUUCCAGCCCCUCCCACUCACAACAACUCACAGUGAACACCUGUGCGUCGAGGCAACACAAGAAAAUGAGCGGCCUGGCUAGAGUAACCGAGUGCAAGGCACUGACAAAGACGAAGAAACUGAACCAAAGAAAGGUCACACCACUUUGGUUAUGUAGAACUACCUGAAGUCUGACAAAGGACAGACCAGCAUUAGGUGCAAAAUGUGUUGGCAACCACCACCAACCUCUUCCAUCAUCUCAACAGGUAGCGUCCCAAACAGAACUCUGAAAGCAUCAGUUUACGCUAUCAGCCUCCCAGACCAGCCCUGCUGCUUCUACUAGUAAAACUUCACUUCGACAACCAACUCGCUGCUGCUUUUUUUACCAAAGUGAUACAAACACACAACCAGCGCAAUUGCGUACUGUUUCGCUAAAGAUAUGAUGUCUAUAAGCACAGUUUAAAAACAGGGCUGCAAGAAGCUAAUGACUGUCAUGGAUGCCAAGUACACUCUGCCAAACAUCAGCCCCUCAGCUGUACACAGAGUGGAGGGUACAGGUGGAGCAGCAGCUCAGACAUGAUGUGAGAUCGGAUCAUCGUCAUCCUGCUUAUGCAAGGAACCCAUCGCAAACUCUAAAUUGCUGAAUCCAAGACCUGCCCAUCGAAGGUUUCUGACAGAGAACAAGAUCAAACAUUAACACGUUGGAUAAAUUCUCCAAUAUUGUCUUUUUUCUUAUAAAGACUAGACACUGCAGGUUUGACUGCAUUGCCCAAGAGGGACGUGCUUGAGACUGGAGCCAAACGAACGGAGUUACAUGUCUGAUGUAAAAGACAGGUUAAGAGAGGAUUAUGAGCAUAAACAACGAAAACAGCGUGAAAACCAUGAGAUAUACUCGUUUUCAGACAAGAUAUAUAUAAACGUCAAUAUAGAACAUUGAA